GACGAACGCUGGCGGCGUGCUUAACACAUGCAAGUCGAACGGAAAGGCCCUGCUUUUGUGGGGUGCGCGAGUGGCGAACGGGUGAGUAACACGUGAGUAACCUGCCCUUGACUUUGGGAUAACUUCAGGAAACUGGGGCUAAUACCGGAUAGGAGCUCCUGCUGCAUGGGGGGGGCUGGAAAGUUUCGGCGGUUGGGGAUGGACUCGCGGCUUAUCAGCUUGUUGGUGGGGUAGUGGCUUACCAAGGCUUUGACGGGUAGCCGGCCUGAGAGGGUGGCCGGCCACAUUGGGACUGGGAUACGGCCCAGACUCCUACGGGAGGCAACAGUGGGGAAUAUUGCACAGUGGGCGGAAGCCUGAUGCAGCAACGCCGCGUGCGGGAUGACGGCCUUCGGGUUGUAAACCGCUUUCGCCUGUGACGAGGCGUGAGUGACGGUAAUGGGUAAAGAAGCACCGGCUAACUACGUG
rnacentral:rRNA from 1 species